ACUCAAAUGAAUUGACGGGGACCCGCACAAGCGGUGGAGCAUGUGGAUUAAUUCGAUACUAACCGAAGAACCUUACCCAGGUUUGACAUCGAUCGCAAAGGUCAGAAAAGGCCUCCUCUUCUCAAAAGGAAGACGUGAAGACACUUGUUGCAUGGCUGUCGUCAGCUCGUGCCGUGAGGUGUACGGUUAAGUCCGCCAACGAGCGCAACCCUCGUCCUGUGUUACCAGCAUGAAAGAUGGGGACUCACAGGAGACCGCCGGUGUAAGCCGGAGGAAGGUGGGGAUGACGUCAAGUCAGCAUGGCAGUUACGCCUGGGGCUUCACACAUGCUACAAUGGGCGAAACAAAGGGCAGCGAUACCGUGAGGUGGAGCCAAUCCCAAAAAUACGCCCUCAGUUCAGAUUGUAGUCUGCAACUCGACUACAUGAAGUCGGAAUCGCUAGUAAACGCAGGUCAGCUAUACUGCGUUGAAUACGUUCCCGGGUCUUGUACACACCGCCCGU
rnacentral:rRNA from 1 species